rnacentral:rRNA from 1 species
AACGAACGCUGGCGGCAUGCCUAACACAUGCAAGUCGAACGAGACCUUCGGGUCUAGUGGCGCACGGGUGCGUAACGCGUGGGAACCUGCCCUUAGGUUCGGAAUAACUCCCCGAAAGGGGUGCUAAUACCGGAUAAUGUCUUCGGACCAAAGAUUUAUCGCCUUUGGAUGGGCCCGCGUUGGAUUAGCUAGUUGGUAGGGUAAAAGCCUACCAAGGCGACGAUCCAUAGCUGGUCUGAGAGGAUGAUCAGCCACACUGGGACUGAGACACGGCCCAGACUCCUACGGGAGGGAGCAGUGGGGAAUAUUGGACAAUGGGCGAAAGCCUGAUGCAGCAAUGCCGCGUGAGUGAUGAAGGCCUUAGGGUUGUAAAGCUCUUUUACCCGGGAUGAUAAUGACAGUACCGGGAGAAUAAGCUCCGGCUAACUCCGUG